rnacentral:ncRNA from 1 species
CGCGCAUCACGCGGUACGGUCUGUCCGAUAUCGACGACAGCGAGACGGAAGCCGGUGAGAAUCCGGCACGGUCGCGCCACUGUGUGCGGGUCCCCCAGGGGGCUCGUGAGUCAGACCCGUGGCUGUCGUCCAGUGCACCA